CCAAGAGGUCGCUGGGCGUGAAUCAUAACGCCUCACGCCUACAGGCCCGAGUAUUAUCCCAAGCACUUGACAUAAACGAAUUCAUUGAAUCCUCUCUGCAGGGCCACGCAGCAGGUUGGUGUCAUUGUCCCUACCUCAGAGUCGAGAGAAAAAAGGCGUGAUCCUACACAAGGUAACGUGGGAGUACGUGGUGGGAUUUGGCCCUGGGUGCAUCUGGCUCUGGGCUUCAAGAGCCUGCAGAAGGCUGAGCAGGACAGAGAGGAAGACGGAGGCCUCCGGAACCACGGGGAGCAGCAGGCCUGGAGUGGGGGUCAGGUUCUGAUCUGUCCAGUGCUAGAGACUUAAGUCAACCCCAGGGAGACCUCUGGCUGCACCUUCCCACCGCAUCUCCCCAAGGCGGGCCUCUGCCAGUGGCAUUCCAUCGACCGGGGCAAUGGUGGGGGCCCCGAGGAAGAGACCUUUGGGGCUCGUG
rnacentral:lncRNA from 12 species